rnacentral:rRNA from 2 species
GGUUAAUUCCGUUAACGAGCGAGACCUGGGCGUGCUAACUAGGGGGUACUACCUUUUUGGUAGUACGCUUUCCCUUCUUAGACGGACUGUGGGCGUCUAGCCCACGGAAGCUCCAGGCAAUAACAGGUCUGAGAUGCCCUUAGAUGUUCUGGGCCGCACGCGUGCUACACUGAGUGGAUCAGCGGGUUAGGUAACGCGAAAGUGUGUCCUAAUCUUUAAAUCCGCUCGUGAUGGGGAUUGACGGUUGCAAUUUUCCGUCAUGAACGAGGAAUACCUUGUAAGCGCGUGUCAUCAUCACGCGCUGAAUACGUCCCUGCCCUUUGUACACACCGCCCGUCGCUCCUACCGAUCGAGUGGUCCGGUGAGGCUUUGGGAUCUAAGCGGAAAAAGCGUUUCGCUUGUUCUGCUCGGAAAACUCAGUCGAACCUUAUCAUUUAGAGGAA